UACGGAGGGGGCAAGCGUUGUCCGGACUUACUGGGCGUAAAGGGUGCGUAGGCGGUCUUGUGCGUCGGUGCUGAAAGCGCCCGGCUUAACCGGGCGAGGCGUGCCGAUACGACAAGACUUGAGGGGCAGCGAGGGUGGCGGAACUCCUGGUGUAGUGGUGAAAUGCGUAGAGAUCCCCAAGAACACCAGUUGCGAAGGCGGCUGACUGGACACAUAUUGACGCUGAGGCUCGAAAGCAUGGGGAGCAAACAGG
rnacentral:rRNA from 1 species